rnacentral:lncRNA from 1 species
CCAUUUUUAAAGUUACCCAAAGUUCCAGGGAACUUCAGUGUAGUGGAAAGAACGCCUAAGGAAAGCUCGCUUCGCAGAAACCAUCACUUCUUGGAAGCUAAGCUCUCAAAACAGUUUCAUAUAAUAUUAAAUGUGUUGGAGGAAAUUCGGACGCUUGGGUCGAUGAGGUGGGGUGGUGGAGCUGGAGCAGCCCUGAGCUCCCUGUGUGGGGGCUGCCCUGCCUGGAGCCACGGGCUGGGCCCCAAAGCCCCCAGGUCCCUUCCAGCCCGACCUGGUUUAUGAUUCAGCGCCCCAGAGUUGUGACAGUGCUGAAUCUCAGUGUUCGAAUGUGCUAAUUAGAUUCAGAAAAUGUACAUGUUGUUUUAGGUUGUCACACUGCUGAUAUCUGAGAAAUAAGAGUGGCUCCCAGCGAGCCUGCUGCACGCGGGUUUACACCCUCAGGGAGAAAAUGGGUUAUUUUGUUAGCAAUGCAGCAGAGCAUUUUCCUGUCUAAAUAAUACAAUAUUGAGAUUUUGCUAUAUAUAAAUGUCUUUUGGGGUAUGCUUUGGGUAUCUUUUUGGGAGGGGCAAUAUGUUCCUGCUGAAUUUUUUUUUUUCCUACUGCUUUUUACACAUCACACAUAAGAAUUCCUGCUUCAGGUGAUGUGCAUUGAGUUUGAAAUGCCUUGACAACAGAUAAUGGGAAAUUCAGGAAAUAAUCGCUUUCUUUUGAUACCUCCUCUUCUUCAUUUCCCCACCUCCCCCCAAAAAAGCAGGAAAGGCUUGGUGAGAAUAACGCAGACUGUGCCCAUGGAGCCUGGAGGAGCAGCAGAGAACGCAGAGAAGAGACCUCUGAAUGCUUUUGCUGUUUUCCGUAGGGAUGCCCUCAGAAACGGCCUUUAUUUUCUCUAAAUGACGGGAUGAUUUUCCUGUCUGUGAAGAUUGAGGACCAGAAGUGCUGUGUACUGCAGUCCCGUCCUUAUCCGCGGGCCAGACAUCAUAGCAGUCUGUCGUAUCGCUCUGCUGAGCCCGGACUCGGAGCAACAGCAACGGCAGAGGUGUGGGCAGAGCAGCGCAGUGCUCUUGCAGAAAGGGACAGGCUUUUCAGACAACCUUGUCUCCUGAAAAGGUGUGCAAAAACAUUUCUAUAG